UGGGAAGUACUAGUGAAUUUAGAAGAAGAAGAAGAAGAAGAAAUGAAUGCAGUGCUUCCUCAACCCCAUUGGGGCAUUAACUUUGCUCGAAAUACAAUGGAGAAAAAGGAGUGGCUCACUAUGGUUGCACUUCACAGUGACACAUGGCUAUUUCGUGUUGCAUUCUAUUUUAGUUCAAGAUUUGGCCAUGACAAAGCUGAUAGAUAGGUAUGUUCUUCUUUGAUA